rnacentral:rRNA from 1 species
UGGGGAAUAUUGGACAAUGGGCGAAAGCCUGAUCCAGCCAUGCCGCGUGUGUGAAGAAGGUCUUCGGAUUGUAAAGCACUUUAAGUUGGGAGGAAGGGCAGUAAGCGAAUACCUUGCUGUUUUGACGUUACCGACAGAAUAAGCACCGGCUAACUCUGUGCCAGCAGCCGCGGUAAUACAGAGGGUCAAGCGUUAAUCGGAAUUACUGGGCGUAAAGCGCGCGUAGGUGGUUCGUUAAGUUGAAUGUGAAAGCCCCGGGCUCAACCUGGGAACUGCAUCCAAAACUGGCGAGCUAGAGUAGGGCAGAGGGUGGUGGAAUUUCCUGUGUAGCGGUGAAAUGCGUAGAUAUAGGAAGGAACACCAGUGGCGAAGGCGACCACCUGGGCUCAUACUGACACUGAGGUGCGAAAGCGUGGGGAGCAAACAGG